AUUGACCGCUGGCGGCAGGCCUAACACCUGCAAGUCGAACGUGUGGCGGACGGGUGAGCAAAGUCUGGGAAAUUGCCUGUUGGAGGGGGAUAACUACUGGAAACGGUUGCUAAUACCGCAUACCAUCGGAUGUUCCCAGAUGGGAUUAGCUAGUAGGUGGGGUACAGGCUCACCUAGGCGACGAUCCCUAGCUGGUCUGAGAGGAUGACCGGCCACACUGGAACUGAGUCACGGUCCAGGCUCCUACGGGAGGCAGCAGUGGGGAAUAUUGCACUAUGGGCGCAAGCCUGAUGCAUCCAUGCCGCGUGGAUGAAGAAGGCCUUCGGGUUGUAAAGUACUUUCAGCGGUGAGGCGUUACCCGCAGAAGAAGCACCGGCUAACUCCGUGCCAGGAGCCGCGGUAAUUC
rnacentral:rRNA from 1 species